UCAUCAUAAUAACAUUUUAAUGUGUAUCACAGUAAGGAACAGUGCUAUCAGUUAGGCGAAUAUUUCCGCAUUAGCAAUCUCAGGCUAUCAGUUAGGCGGACACUUUCGCAUUAGCAAUUUGGCACAAAGGCCCAUUCAACAUACAAUAUGCUAUCAGUUAGGCAGAUAUUCCCGCAUUAGCAAUCUUAGGCUAUCAGUCAGGCGGGCACUUCUGCAUUAGCAGUUUGGCACAAAGGCCCAGUCAAAGUAAUAACAUUCAACUAUCCUUUUCAUUCAUUGUUUCGUAUUUCCUGUCUUUUCAUCAUGCCUCCACAUCACCUUAUAAAUAUACAUACCUCCGCAUCACCACAUAACUAAGCAUACCUCCACAUCACCAUAUUACUAAGCAUACCUCCACAUCACCCUUUUAACUUUAACCUUCCAAGGGGUAACUUGCAUUCUUAUUCACUUCUUCGCUUGUUUAGCCUAAUACCCUUUUGGUGACCGGUUUUCUAUCUAACGAUUAAUAUCACAAACGGACUCGGACUCGCACAAAUUUUAUGUCCACAUGUUCGUAUUGAACUCAAGUUUCUAAAGGUCUAGAAAUCAUAUUUUUCUGGGCAGUCUAUCUCCAGCUAUUGAGGAAAAACUGAGACUGUUAUUCUAGGUUUGUAGGAGCAGCACCUUACUGUCUUGUUAUGUGGUUUUUAUGUUGUGAAAGCCUACGCACGGACUAUCUCUCUUAUCAAAGUAACUCUAGAGAUCCUAACCUUUACUUUGAAUUAUAUUUUACUAUAUUUGGAUUAGAAUUGAAUUUUAUACAAGAUUUUAAAAUUCUGC
rnacentral:lncRNA from 1 species